rnacentral:lncRNA from 10 species
UCCCCUGCACCCACCUUUUAAACACGUAUUCUGUCUCUUUCUAACUCCUUUGUCUCCUCUGGACUCCGGGUUCCUGCCGGGUGGUGUAGGGCUGGUUUCCCCAACAUCUGGUGCCGAAUGCAGGGCUCCCCGUAAUCUCUACAAAUAAUCUGGUGAAGGAACGCCAGAGCGUGGAAAGUGGAGGAGGACUGAGGAAGGAAGCCUGAGUACGUUUUCACUUCAAGCUCUACGGGAGGAUUGAGUACUCCAGGGGGAGUGAAUGUGAUGGGUUAUGCCUAAGGCUGAAUGAAAGCUGCUGGGUUGCUUUAGCUGUGAAAGUGGUCCAUUAUCACUCUUCAGACUUUCAGCUGACUCUUUUCGUUUUCCUGCAGAGAUAUUGCUGGAGCAUGACAUAUAAGAUUCAUUUCAAAAAGUGAAUCUGAGAAAAUAUAGAAGCUGUGACCUUAAUAGUUUACAUUAAAAAAAAAAAGACUACCAAAGUGUGGAUAAUUGCAAGGGGCAGAAGAGCAGUUAUAAUGGCCUUCAUCAAUGUUUGUCAACUACCCAUAGCAAAACCUGUCAAUGAAAUAAAUGUGGCAAAGCUUUUGAGUUGUGCUCAGUCUUUACUGAACAUAAGAAAAUUUUCAGCAUAGAGAAAUGCUACAAAUGUGAAGAAUGUGGCAAAGACUGUAGGUUGUUCUCAGAUAUUACUAUACAGAAGUGAAUUCAUACUGCAGAGAGAUGCUACAGACAUCAACAAUGUGGCAAAGCCUGAAAAUAUCUCAAAUGUUACUGAAUAUAAGAGAGCUCAUGCUGGGAUAUCUAACAAAUGCAAUGAAUGUGGCAAAACAUUUACCUGCUCCUCAACCUUUAUUAAACAAAGAGAAAUCAUACUGGAGACAAACCCUACAUAUGCGAAGAAUGUGGCAAAGCCUUUAAGUGCUUCUCUGACCUUACUAAUCAAAAGAGAAAUUAUACUGGAGGGAAAUCUUGCAAAUGUGAGGAAUGUAGCCUAUAGGUUGUUCUCAGAACUUGCUAAAUAUAAGAUAAUUCACACCGGGGAGAAACUCUACAAACGUGAAGAAUGUGAUGAAGACUAUAGUUGCUUCUCAGACCUUACUAAACAUGAUAAUUCAUAGUGGAGAGAAACCUUACAAAUGUAUUGAAUAUAAUAAAAGCUUUUAUGUGGUUCUCAGCCCUUAGUAAACACAAGUGUACAUCUGUGAAGAACAUAACCAUACAUCUGUGAAGAAUGUGGAACUGCCUUUACCUGCUUCUUCACCCUUAUUAACCACAAGAGAAUUAAUAUGGAAAAGAGACCUUCUGAAUGUGGAGAAUGUGGCAAAACCUUUAAGUGCUUCUCAGACAUUACUAAUCAUUAGAUAAUUCACACUGGAGAAAAACCCUACAAAUGUGAAAAAUGUGGCACAGCAUUGAGUUUUUCUCACACCUCAUUAGAGAAAAGAGAAUUCAUACUAGAGAGUAGAUUUACAAUUGUUAAAAAUGUGGAAAGUCUUUAACAAGUUCUCAUACUGUGUUCAACAUCAGAGUCUUCAUACCGAACAAAUGCAGUAUAAAGGUAAUGACUGUUAAUUCCAUGGCAGAAGGCCCAAACCAGAGAACUGGCCAGACAGUUCUGUUGCACCUAAGCAGCAUGUGCACUUUUCCAAGCACAUCUCAUUCCCUUCCUGACUCCAAUUAUUUCAACAGCACCUUCUCAUUUGCACCAGCCCAUUUUUGAGCCCCAACAAACUAUGAUUUUGAAAUACCUCUGAAGACCGCAUGAGCUAACCACUAAGGGUGACAGUGCUCUAGCCUACUCAAUUUCACCUGAGGGCAGAAACAAGGCAGGAGAGUCUUGUCACCUGGAUUCGGUGCUUAGGAUACUUUACAAUCUUCUUUGGAUGCAUGGCCAAGUCAGAAGGGUAACAUCAUCUGGGGACAGACUCAAGUAAUAUGGCACCACGUCUAUGGUAGAAAAGGUUGAAGAAAAACAGGAGAAUCACAUCACCUAGGUGUUGGGCUUAGCAAUAUGAAAUAAUCCCCUCUUUUGGCCAA